ACUAAAUGUUAUGAACUAUAGUAGAUUAUAUCGGAUUGAUAGCGCUAAUUAUUAAUACCAAAAGUUUGAGCGGUUAGAAAUACACAAAUAGUUUAUUUAAAGUAUACAGACACAGCGUCUACAGAUCUCGAUUGUAACUCAACCCAAUCAACCUCACACCACUUCAAAUAUGACUGAACCCAACAUGACCUCAUGCUACAUCGAAAAGUGACUUAGCUCAACUUGACCUUCUGUCACAAGAUAGGAUGCUGGUCUCUUUAAGCCAGCAGAUUAGACCCUCUUGUAGUGUCAUCUCC
rnacentral:lncRNA from 1 species